ACUAUUGUCACUGGUUACCGCGGCUGCUGGCACGGAGUUAGCCGGUGCUUCUUCUGCGAGUAACGUCACAGAUGUAAGGUAUUAACUUACACCCUUUCCUCCUCGCUGAAAGUGCUUUACAACCCGAAGGCCUUCUUCACACACGCGGCAUGGCUGCAUCAGGGUUUCCCCCAUUGUGCAAUAUUCCCCACUGCUGCCUCCCGUAGGAGUCUGGGCCGUGUCUCAGUCCCAGUGUGGCUGAUCAUCCUCUCAGACCAGCUAGGGAUCGUCGCCUAGGUGAGCCUUUACCUCACCUACUAGCUAAUCCCACCUGGGCUUAUCCAUCAGCGCAAGGCCCGAAGGUCCCCUGCUUUCCCCCGUAGGGCGUAUGCGGUAUUAGCAGUCGUUUCCAACUGUUAUCCCCCACAAAUGGGCAAAUUCCCAGGCAUUACUCACCCGUCCGCCGCUCGUCAUCUUCAAAAGCAAGCUUUUGAAAUGUUACCGCUCGACUUGCAUGUGUUAGGCCUGCCGCCAGCGUUCAAU
rnacentral:rRNA from 1 species